rnacentral:rRNA from 1 species
GUGAGGAAUAUUGGUCAAUGGACGAGAGUCUGAACCAGCCAAGUCGCGUGAAGGAAGACGGUUCUAUGAAUUGUAAACUUCUUUUGUGCAGGAAUAAAGUGGGUUACGUGUAACCUUUUGUAUGUACUGUACGAAUAAGGAUCGGCUAACUCCGUGCCAGCAGCCGCGGUAAUACGGAGGAUCCGAGCGUUAUCCGGAUGUAUUGGGUUUAAAGGGUGCGUAGGUGGAUUGAUAAGUCAGCGGUGAAAGUUUGCAGCUUAACUGUAAAAUUGCCGUUGAAACUGUCGGUCUUGAGUGCAAAUGAGGUAGGCGGAAUGUGUUGUGUAGCGGUGAAAUGCUUAGAUAUAACACAGAACUCCGAUUGCGAAGGCAGCUUACUGGGAUGCAACUGACACUGAUGCACGAAAGCGUGGGUAUCAAACAGGAUUAGAAACCCUGGUAGUCC